rnacentral:rRNA from 1 species
CCUACGGGGGGCUGCAGUGGGGAAUAUUGCACAAUGGGCGCAAGCCUGAUGCAGCCAUGCCGCGUGUGUGAAGAAGGCCUUCGGGUUGUAAAGCACUUUCAGCGGGGAGGAAGGCGUUAAGGUUAAUAACCUUGUCGAUUGACGUUACCCGCAGAAGAAGCACCGGCUAACUCCGUGCCAGCAGCCGCGGUAAUACGGAGGGUGCAAGCGUUAAUCGGAAUUACUGGGCGUAAAGCGCACGCAGGCGGUCUGUCAAGUCGGAUGUGAAAGCCCCGGGCUCAACCUGGGAACUGCAUUCGAAACUGGCAGGCUAGAGUCUUGUAGAGGGGGGUAGAAUUCCAGGUGUAGCGGUGAAAUGCGUAGAGAUCUGGAGGAAUACCGGUGGCGAAGGCGGCCCCCUGGACAAAGACUGACGCUCAGGUGCGAAAGCGUGGGGAGCAAACAGGAUUAGAUACCCUUGUAGUC